GUCAUAAUAUAAUUAAGCUGGUGACAACGCUUUUGAAACAGACACACAAUGAGCCCAUACUUCAUCUCUUUUCUGUAAAUAUUUGGAUUCAUUUCCAAUUAAACUAGGUCUAUCCGCGAUAUAUUUGAUAAGGGUGUCAUGACACUCUUUUCCUUCUUGUACAAGCUCCUGGCAACAAGGAAUGGAUACAACUCCAUUUGCAAAAACUUGAGAAAUGAUAUUGAGCGCACACUUUGGACUGAUUUUAACAACACAUUGAUCCCAUAACUUUUUGGGUUCAUUUUCUUCUACCGCUAAUGAAGGAAUACAUGUACUCGCCACAACUAGAACAACAAAAGACACCAUAAUAAUGUUAAGCUUGGCCAUGGUUUUUUUGGCUAUAUGGAGAGUUAAUGUUUAAUUUUUCUCAAUAUAGAAUAAGAAAAUAGCUUUUAAAUUUAUGAUCUGGUUUGAAUAAACGAUGAUAACCCUAUUUAUAGAUAUGAAUAAUCAAUAUUAAACAUUUAUUGUUGAGAAAUAACUUUGAUUUUGAAGGUUUUUACUUCAUUAAACUUUGUUAAGUUACAUUUUUCUUGAUGAAGUUAUUAAUUGUUUAGGAUAAUCAUUUAUAAACAAUUAAAUUAGCAUUCUUGUAAUAUAGAAAUAAAGACACAAAAAGAAUUUAUACAGGUAUUUAAAUUCCAACUAAUAAACUACUGAAUAUUGUUGUUGUCAGCAACAUAUAUUUUGGUGGUUGUAUAUCAACUUAGUAACAAAAACAAAAAGUACAGUCUAACAUGUGAUAAGUCUCAAAAAUGAUUGUAGAAUUAAUGUUUGAGUAUAUAUGAAAAUAUAUCACUCUAGGGUUAAAAGAAAGAGUUUCAGAUUUUAUAUUUUCUUUAUUUCGUGAUGUAGGAUGCUUGUUAAUAAUUUUAUAUUUUCCAUUUUAUAAUUUCAUUAUGCAGAGAUGGUUAUGAGUUAAACAUGAUUCCAUUAGGAUAAACACUUACAAAUAUCAAUUCUUCAUACAAAAAUAAUAUGUAAAAUCUGUAUAAUAAUUUCUUUAAUAAAAAACCAAAAUAAAAAUGAAAACAUUGUUUCAAAGUUAAGCUUGCGAAAUUAAAUUUUAUCUGUUUAUAACUUACAUAAUAGUUUAAUUACAAGAUAUAUUUCGCAAAAAAACUUAUGUGUUUCAUAUUAAACAUAUAGAAAACAUAUAUAUAUAUAUAAAUAUAAUUUGGUUCAUCUUUCGAUUAUAAUUCAAAUAAAUUUUUAUGAUUUUAUUAAAAAACAUAUGUUAAUUGUUUUGUAAACUCUAAUUUUUUAAAUGGAAAACGUUGUGCGACCAAUUGCAAGAGAUAUCUUAAAUGUAAUAAGCCUGUUUUGAUCUUUUGUUGUCGUGAAAGGCUAGAGUCUUAUGAUUUCAAAUAAAAUAUGUGUUUCCAUAUUAUGCUAUUUAAGUUAAUUAAAAUUGUGAGUACAUAAAAAUUUCAAAUAAGUUUUUUUUUUUAAUUUGGGAUUACACCUUUUUAUUUGGUAUUCAAAAGUGAGAAUAUAAUGAAAUAAUGGUAAAGAAAACAUGCAACACAAGGCGAAAAGUAUUAAAUAUCUCAUUAAUAUAUAAAUGAUUUUAUUUUAAACUUUUAUGAAAAAACAAAUUAUUUUAUCAAAAUUACAUAUAAUUACGUCAUAAUAUAAUUAAGCCGGUGAUAACGCUUUUGAAACAGACACACAAUGAGCCCAUACUUCAUCUCUUUUCUGUAAAUAUUUGGAUUCAUUUCCAAUUAAACUAGGUCUAUCCGCGAUAUAUUUGAUAAGGGUGUCAUGACACUCUUUUCCUUCUUGUACAAGCUCCUGGCAACAAGGAAUGGAUACAACUCCAUUGCCAAAAACUUGAGAAAUGAUAUUGAGCGCACACUUUGGACUGAUUUUAAUAACACAUUGAUCCCAUAACUUUUUGGGUUCAUUUUCUUCUACGGCUAAUGAAGGAAUACAUGUACUCGCCACAACUAGAACAACAAAAGACACCAUAAUAAUGUUAAGCUUGGUCAUGGUUUUUCUGGCUAUAUGGAAAGUUAAUGUUUAAUUUUUCUCAAUAUAGAAUAAGAAAAUAG
rnacentral:lncRNA from 1 species